UUUCGUUUGCUGUAAAAUUUUAUAUCUAUAAUGUAAAUCCCACGUACAAAGUAAAUGGAAAAUCUUGUUUAAAUAUAUCCUUUUUUGCGAUUUUUCAUGGUAAUUUUCGAGGCAGAUCCCGUGUUAAUUAUGAUUUCGCAUCAAUCUAAUGGGCAGGAGUAGAUAGAGAUUCUGGAAAGCCAUUUUACUUUGCCUGAACCAACAGAAAAUUUUCAUUAACCUUGCCUGGAAUCUCUUAUGAAUAUUUACUAAAAGAGUCAGAACAUUGAAACAUUUCCCAGUACAAAUUAAAGCCUUUAGGGGAUGAAAUACUAACAAACUGAAUGUUUAAUUGCCUUAAGGCAAACAACGAAACGUUAUAAUAAUACCCUGAGAUACAUUCUAGCGAAUGUGCGUUUAUCGUACACUUUGGAUUUCAAGUUGCUCCUGGGAAUUGUUUGCCAACGAAACAUAACCGUUCCAGGCUAUACAGGAUCCUUUGAAAUGGCCGACAAUACAUUUAAAAACGAUAAGUUUGGGCUUUCGGGAUGAAUUUCGGGAUUAAGAUGUCAGAAAAGCAAAUAUGAAAAUGAAUCAUAAAGGGCUCUGAAAUGCCAGCUUUGAGUCUUGCUCUGCUUCGUUGACUUAGCGAAUACUUCUUGUGCAAUGGAUUUUUCUGAUGGGAUUAUAGUAAAUGGAACGCGUCCUUGUAUCAUAUGUUAUCUUACAGAUUCCCGAAAAGAAAUCUUUCUCAGAAAUCGUUCAUUCUUGCUACAUCAGUAUAUCAAUUUCAACUCCCCCAGGAACAACUUUCAAGAGAAGUCCUCUAAAUGAAACCUAAUUCAAAGUGAAGUUGAAAUUAUCCAAGACGUUAUAUCUUGUUCGUAUCUGCUUCACAUGAAG